AGAGUUUGAUCCUGGCUCAGGACGAACGCUGGCGGCGUGCNUAANACAUGCAAGUCGAACGGAAGUUUUCGGACAGAACCGGUAACAUCUUAGUGGCGGACGGGUGAGUAACGCGUGGAUAACCUGCCUAUCAGACCGGGACAACUCUGGGAAACCGGAGCUAAUACCGGAUACAAUUAUAUAGGCGCAUACUAUAUAGAAGAAAGGGUUACCGCUGAUAGAUAGGCCCGCGUCCNAUUAGCUAGUUGGAGGUGUAACGGACCCCCAAGGCAACGAUGGGUAGCCGGCCUGAGAGGGCGAUCGGCCACACUGGAACUGAGAUACGGUGCAGACUCCUACGGGAGGCAGCAGUGGGGAAUAUUCCGCAAUGGGCGAAAGCCUGACGGAGCAACGCCGCGUGAGGGAGGAAUGCUUCGGGUAGUAAACCUCUGUYCUAUGGGAAGAAGNAAGUGACGGUACCAUAGGAGUAAGCCCCGGCUAACUACGUGCCAGCAGCCGCGGUAACACGUAGGGGGNAAGCGUUGUCCGGAAUUACUGGGCGUAAAGGGCGCGUAGGCGGUUGAUUAAGUUAGAGGUGAAAGCCCAGGGGUUAACCUUGGGAUUGCCUCNNAAACUGGUUAACUUGAGUGCAGGAGAGGGAAGUAGAAUUCCCAGUGUAGCGGUGAAAUGCGUAGAUAUUAGGAGGAAUACCGGUGGCGAAGGCGGCUUCCUGGCCUGUAACUGACGCUGAGGCGCGAAAGCGUGGGUAGCGAACAGGAUUAGAUACCCUGGUAGUCCACGCCGUAAACGAUGAGNGCUAGGUGUUGGAGGGAUCGACCCCUUCAGUGCCGUAGUUAACGCGCUAAGCNCUCCGCCUGGGGAGUACGGUCGCAAGACUGAAACUCAAAGGAAUUGACGGGGGCCCGCACAAGCGGUGGAGCAUGUGGUUUAAUUCGACGCAACGCGAAGAACCUUACCAGGGCUUGACAUCCUUNNCCCGUCCUNGAGAUAGGACCUUCUCUUGGAGACAAAGAGACAGGUGGUGCAUGGUUGUCGUCAGCUCGUGUCGUGAGAUGUUGGGUUAAGUCCCGCAACGAGCGCAACCCCUACCGUUAGUUGCCAUCACGUAAAGGUGGGCGCUCUAGCGGAACUGCCGUUGACAAAACGGAGGAAGGUGGGGAUGACGUCAAAUCAUCAUGCCCCUUAUGUCCUGGGCUACACACGUGCUACAAUGGCCUNUCCCGAGGGAAGCGAAACCGCGAUGCGAAGCAAAUCCCAGAAAGCAGGUCUUAGUUCGGAUUGCAGUCUGCAACUCGACUGCAUGAAGUCGGAAUCGCUAGUAAUCGYRGRUCAGCAUACUGCGGUGAAUACGUUCCCGGGCCUUGUACACACCGCCCGUCACACCACGAAAGUUGACANCACCCGAAGCCGGUGGGCUAACCUUUAAAGGAGGCAGCCGUCGAAGGUGGGGUCGGUGAUUGGGGUGAAGUCGUAACAAGGUAGCCGUAUCGGAAGGUGCGGCU
rnacentral:rRNA from 2 species